rnacentral:rRNA from 1 species
AGACCCGAAACCCGGUGAUCUAGCCAUGGGCAGGUUGAAGGUUGGGUAACACUAACUGGAGGACCGAACCGACUAAUGUUGAAAAAUUAGCGGAUGACCUGUGGCUGGGGGUGAAAGGCCAAUCAAACCGGGAGAUAGCUGGUUCUCCCCGAAAGCUAUUUAGGUAGCGCCUCGUGAAUUCAUCUCCGGGGGUAGAGCACUGUUUCGGCUAGGGGGCCAUCCCGGCUUACCAACCCGAUGCAAACUGCGAAUACCGGAGAAUGUUAUCACGGGAGACACACGGCGGGUGCUAACGUCCGUCGUGAAGAGGGAAACAACCCAGACCGCCAGCUAAGGUCCCAAAGUCAUGGUUAAGUGGGAAACGAUGUGGGAAGGCCCAGACAGCCAGGAUGUUGGCUUAGAAGCAGCCAUCAUUUAAAGAAAGCGUAAUAGCUCACUGGUCGAGUCGGCCUGCGCGGAAGAUGUAACGGGGCUAAACCAUGCACCGAAGCUGCGGCAGCGAACGUAUCACUUAAAGCGAUUCAGCGGGUUACGAUUGACGGAGCGAAGCGACGUCAAAGCGUAUACAAAGUCGAGUCGGUUUAAGGAUACGUUCGUUGGGUAGGGGAGCGUUCUGUAAGCCUGUGAAGGUGUGUCGUGAGGCAUGCUGGAGGUAUCAGAAGUGCGAAUGCUGACAUAAGUAACGAUAAAGCGGGUGAAAAGCCCGCUCGCCGGAAGACCAAGGGUUCCUGUCCAACGUUAAUCGGGGCAGGGUGAGUCGACCCCUAAGGCGAGGCCGAAAGGCGUAGUCGAUGGGAAACGGGUUAAUAUUCCCGUACUUGGUGUUACUGCGAAGGGGGGACGGAGAAGGCUAUGUUGGCCGGGCGACGGUUGUCCCGGUUUAAGCGUGUAGGUGUGUGUUCCAGGUAAAUCCGGUUCACUUUAACACUGAGGCGUGACGACGAGGCACUACGGUGCUGAAGCAACAAAUGCCCUGCUUCCAGGAAAAGCCUCUAAGCAUCAGGUAACAUCAAAUCGUACCCCAAACCGACACAGGUGGUCAGGUAGAGAAUACCAAGGCGCUUGAGAGAACUCGGGUGAAGGAACUAGGCAAAAUGGUGCCGUAACU